rnacentral:tRNA from 1 species
GCCCGUGUAGUUCAAAGGGAGAGAGCGACCCAUAGAGGGAAAUAUCCCGGUUCGAGUCCGGGCACGGGCACCA